rnacentral:sRNA from 1 species
UUUUAGCCCCGAUGGGAGCGAUAUCCUUUUCGAGUCUUUUCUCGUUCCUAAAACGAGAAAAGACUCGAAAAGAUAAAGAGGACAGCGGGACCCAUG